UACAGAGGGUGCGAGCGUUGUCCGGAAUCACUGGGCGUAAAGGGCGCGUAGGCGGCUUCUUAAGCGUGUGGUGAAAGCGCGGGGCUCAACCCCGCGUCGGCCGUGCGAACUGGGGAGCUGGAGCACGUCAGAGGCAGGCGGAAUUCCGGGUGUAGCGGUGGAAUGCGUAGAGAUCCGGAAGAACACCGGUGGCGAAGGCGGCCUGCUGGGACGUGGCUGACGCUGAGGCGCGACAGCGUGGGGAGCAAACAGG
rnacentral:rRNA from 1 species